ensembl:lncRNA
UGUCCUUUAGUAGUGGUUUCUUUGCAGCCUUUUGACCAUGAAGGCCGGAUUCACACAGCCCCCUUUGAACAGUUGAUGUUGAGAUGUGUCUGUUACUUGAACUCUGUGAAGCAUUUAUUUGGGCUGCAAUUUCUGAGGCUGGUAACUCAAAUGAACUUAUCCUCUGCAGCAGAGGUCACUCUGGGGCAAACUACUUGCCCUCCAGGACACCUAUAGCACCCGAUGUCACAGGAAGGCCGAAAAGAGAUCAUCAAGGACAACAAACACCCGAGCCACUGCCUGUUCACCCUGCUAUCAUCCAGAAGGCGAGGUCAGUACAGGUGCAUCAAAGCUGGGACCGAGAGACUGAAAAACAGCUUCUAUCUCAAGGCCAUCAGACUGUUAAACAGCCAUCACUAACAUAUAGAGGCUGCUGCCAACACACACACUCAAAUCUCUGGCCACUUUAAUAAAGGUAUAAAGGUAUCACUAGUCACAUUAAAUAACGGCACUUUAAUAAUGUCUACAUACCCUACAUUACUCAUCUCAUAUGUAUAUACUGUUCUAUACCAUCUACUGCAUCUUGCCUAUGCCGCACGGCCAUCGCGCAUUCAUAUAUGUAUACAUACAUAUUCUUAUUCAUCCCUUUACACUUGUGUGUGUAAGGUAGUCGUUGUGAAUUUGUUAGAUUACUUGUUAGAUAUUACUGCACUGUCGGAACUAGAAGCACAAGCAUUUAGCGACGCUCACAUUAACAUCUGCUAACCAUGUGUAUGUGACCAAUCAAAUUUGAUUUGAUUUUGGGUCUUCCGUUCCUGUGGCGGUCCUCAUGAGAGCUAGUUUCAUCAUAGCGCUUGAUGGUUUUUGCGACUGCACUCGAAGAAACCUCCACAUUUCUUGACAUUUUCCGUAUCGACUGACUUUCAUGUCUUAAAGUAAUGAUGGACUGUAGUUUCUCUUUGCUUUUUUGAGCUGUUCCUGCCAUAAUAUGGAAUUGGUCAAUUACCAAAAAGUCUAUCUUCUGUAUACCACCCCUACUUUGUCACAACACAACUGAUUGGCUCAAAUGCAAUAAGAAGGAAAGGAAAUUCCACAAAUUGUUUAGCACUUUUUUGGUUACUAUAUGAUUCCAUAUGUGUUAUUUCAUAGUUGUGAUGUCUUCACUAUUAUUCUACAAUGUAGAAAACAGUAAAAACCCUUAAAUGAGUAGGCGUUCUAAAACUUUUGACCGGUAGUGUAUACUUUUUUGUUUGGGAAUCUUUGUUUGUUUGUUUGGGAAUCUCUGGCAACUCUCUCCUAACUGUCCACAGUUACUGCCCACAGGACUGCAAUUUCCCCUCCCAAACCAGUGGAUGAUUAUUAGUGGAAUAUUAAAUCAAAACAAGCUAAAUGUGCCAGGGGUUUAAAAAAAAAUCUAAAAUACAAAUAAACCAAAGGUGUGUACUUGAAUUUCGCUAUUAUGAUAUUGAGUGUAUCAUCUCUCUCUCUCUCUGUCUCUAUGUUCCUUGCUCUCUCAGUUUAGGUGAUGAAUUGGAAAGGAAACUUCUGUGUAUUUCCAUGAAAUCCAAGUGACUUGCUGUCUUGCCAAUGCUAUGAAAUAAAAACCUUAAAUACUGU